rnacentral:rRNA from 1 species
UACGUAGGGUGCAAGCGUUGUCCGGAAUUAUUGGGCGUAAAGAGCUCGUAGGCGGUUUGUCGCGUCUGCUGUGAAAACCCAGGGCUUAACCCUGGGCCUGCAGUGGGUACGGGCAAACUAGAGUGCGGUAGGGGAGAUCGGAAUUCCUGGUGUAGCGGUGAAAUGCGCAGAUAUCAGGAGGAACACCAGCGGCGAAGGCGGCGCUCUGGGCCGGAACUGACGCUGAGGAGCGAAAGCGUGGGUAGCAAACAGG